CCCCCGGCAGAGAGAGGAAAACACGCGAGUGCACACACGGUGAUAUCUUGCGGGUGAUGAAUAUGAUAAUUGGACAAGGGACGGACAGAAGAGCUCCUUGGCACUGGAUGCCUCCGGGUCUGGUUGAGAGAGGAAUGGUUAGGAGACUGUUCUGAGGAUACGCAGACAUCAUCCAAAGCUUCCUACAUUCAGAUGAGGACAGAGGUUGGGCCAGAGCUUUGUAAGCUUGUUACCUAAGGAUGGUUCUGACCAUGUAAGCAGAUCACAGAAGCUGGAGGCAAAGGAUGCCAAGAUGGGAAAGCCACAUAAUGGAAGGAUCCUGGAUUUCAGAGCUGUCACUUGGAGGAGGGGCACCCAGUGAAGGUGUCUUAUCUAACCCACACCAUAUCUUCAUGAAGUGGCCAUAUGGAUUUGAUCCCUAUCCUUCAGAGGUGCUCAGCCUAAGGGAACACGGAUAGUAGAUUAAGCACUGACCAGAGCCAGCCUUGACAAUGUGCUGAUGGCAACCUAGAACAUAAGCAGAGGAGUAUACAGGACAAGAACUUGAUGGUCUCGGGAAAAUGGACAACAUGACUCAGGUGAAAAAGAUUGAUCAUCAGAUGUUUCUUAUGUAUCAACCUGAUAUUUAAAUCCAUGAAGGACAGAGACGACAAAGGCAGGUGGAAUAGAUAGAGAAGAGAUUCAAGGUCUGAGCUCUACAUUACUCAAACUGUUAGAGAUUAGGAAGAAGAGGAAGACCUGGCAAAAGAAUGUCCUGGGAUGUAGAAAGAAAACCAGAAGCUUGUGUUCUCUGGAAACCAAAUGAAGAAAGGGCUUCCAGAAGGACAGACAAAGUGUAGUGUGUCAAAGGCUCCUGAGCAAUCAGAGGAGAGCACAAAGGGGCUCACAGGACUUUGGUAUCUGGAUCACCCAGUGACACUUCCUGAUCACGAGAAACUGUCAGACCAACAGGGGCACUUUCUGAAACCAGCAGUUCUUCAGUGCCCAAAUGCAACCUUGAUGGUUUGAUUUUGGAGGAUGGCAAUUCAUUAACAGCACUCCCCAGUGAUAAAUAUGAAAACCAAUAAAACCCCCCACCCAAGGCAAUCUCUCCCAGCUCCUCGCUUUGAGUAAAGUGAGUAACCUCCAUUUCUGCCAACUCCUGUCUUGUCUGAAGCCACAUUUCCCCAGCAAUGUCACAUAUGCAUUUCUUGAUCCUGGUCAUUUCUCCUCUUGGGAGAUGAAUCAUAAAGAAAAUGAGAUCUGUGUGCCCUGGUGACUAUGGAUGCAAGAGUCUGCUGCCCUGGAGGGAACAGCUGGAAAAGUAGAUGGUGAAGACGUGUGGGGGGGAAACAGUGGAGAAGGCAUCUUUGCAGGGGAUCAAGGUGACAGAGUGAUUAGUUACACUGUUUUGACAUGUGAGAACAGGGGGUUAUAAAAAUGGAUACAGGAAGAGGGAGAGAAAGUAAGGACCAAAACAUGAAGCCAGUCAUGAAUGUUUUUACAUAAAAAGCAGCAGAUUUACGGCAAAUAUGUGAUGUUUCCACAUUUUCUGCCUCUAGUUAGCAGGGGCAGCACAAAGAGCAUUACUGUGGAGCUGAACUUUGGGUAAAAGAUUAACAGCCAGUCCUUUCUCUCCAGUGUCUGCUUCCUUCUGGGCUUGCCCUGGGGGAAAAGGAGGGCUGGCAUGGAUAUGCCUGCAGCCCUCACCCUAGAUGUUCUUCCACGCCUCUCUGUUCAUUCAUUGCUUAGUCAUUCCUCAGGCAUGGAUUGAGACCACUGUGUGCCCAGGACCGACCUGGCCUAGGAUGGACAUAGAGAUGGAAAAGGCACAGGGAGCAGGUGACAGAGACAAAUCAAGGUCAUGGAGAAUAGCAGAGUAAGAUAGAAGAUGAAGGCAGGAGAUGGGGUUCUUGAGAAAGCGAGAGCAGGACUGACCCGUGUCUGCCUCACCUGUUAUUGCUGUAGCCUCUUCUCCUUGGAGUAUCCCUCCUGCUCUUGCAUCACCUUAGGAACUUGGAUCAGAGAGGAAAGUUACGGCCUGGAUAUGUUGUAGUAGGAGGGGACAAACAUGUUUGGAGACAGAAAUGCUUGGGGAGCGGGUGUUUUUGGGGGAUGAGACUUUCCAGGUCUCUCAAUUCACACUAUGUAGGUAGUUCACUGCACAGCUUAAAUAAGAGACAACUCUCCGGAGUGGUUGGCUCUCAUCCAAAAAAUGUGUUUUGGGCCUCAGAUUUCCAACGGAAGGGCUGAAGCGUGACUGGCCUGAUGUCAACUACUGAAGUCCACCUGCCCCUGCCCUAUCAGGUGUGGAAAUGCUGGGGUUCCUCUCUCAGAACCUACUUCCUGAGAUGUCGAAAUAUACCCAAGAGUAUUUCUGGGCCUUCUCCAAUCCGAAACUGUUUAGUUUUUGUGUGUGUGUGCCUACUUGGCCACACUAGAAGACAGAGGUGGCCUGGGUGAAAUGCAGGUUUCUAGAGGCUCUCUGACAAAGCUCAGGCCACCAGCCCCAGGCCAGCCUGUGGGUAGUCCUGGCUGACAGUCACUUCAUACCUCACCUGGGCUUUUUGCCAAAUUCAAAGUGUGUGUAUAUGUGGAGUGCUGGGUUCCCACCACUGACAGUCUGUAAGUCAUUCACUUAGCUCAAUUUGUCUUACUUUCUUCUGAAAUUUCUUCCUUCUUGUUCUUUUUCCCAGGAGAAACCAGGAGAAGGCAGUCCUAGGGCAGUCUCCGGGCCAGCUUUCCCUAAUAAGAAGGCAGAGCUCCUCUUCACCCAGACUUCAGACCUAUAGAGGCAGCCUGGGGUCCCGGGAUGCCCUUGCACUCAGAGAUGUCCCCAGAGUCCUAGGGAAAUGGAGGAUAACUAGGAGGAAGCUGUUCAUGGCUGGCGAUGAGGUCUAUACCUUCUUGUCCGUCUCAGUGCUGUCUGCUAUUGAAUUUUUGUGCAGAUCACAUUAACUUAAAGCCAGUUCUCAAGAAGCUCCCCCUGCCGCCGGCAUAUCCACCAGUUGCUCCCCUUUCCUGCCAUUAAUCAGGGUCUGCUAGUUAGAGAACAAAUUCCUAUUUGUCCAAACAGUUGCCAACACCCCCACCCCAAGGUAGUUAAAUGAG
ensembl:lncRNA PROX1-AS1 PROX1 antisense RNA 1